GGGAGCUUGCUCCUUGAUUCAGCGGCGGACGGGUGAGUAAUGCCUAGGAAUCUGCCUGGUAGUGGGGGACAACGUUUCGAAAGGAACGCUAAUACCGCAUACGUCCUACGGGAGAAAGCAGGGGACCUUCGGGCCUUGCGCUAUCAGAUGAGCCUAGGUCGGAUUAGCUUGUUGGUGAGGUAAUGGCUCACCAAGGCGACGAUCCGUAACUGGUCUGAGAGGAUGAUCAGUCACACUGGAACUGAGACACGGUCCAGACUCCUACGGGAGGCAGCAGUGGGGAAUAUUGGACAAUGGGCGAAAGCCUGAUCCAGCCAUGCCGCGUGUGUGAAGAAGGUCUUCGGAUUGUAAAGCACUUUAAGUUGGGAGGAAGGGCAGUAAGUUAAUACCUUGCUGUUUUGACGUUACCGACGGAAUAAGCACCGGCUAACUCUGUGCCAGCAGCCGCGGUAAUACAGAGGGUGCAAGCGUUAAUCGGAAUUACUGGGCGUAAAGCGCGCGUAGGUGGUUUGUUAAGUUGGAUGUGAAAGCCCCGGGCUCAACCUGGGAACUGCAUCCA
rnacentral:rRNA from 1 species